CCUCUGAAACCUCCCACGCCGCAUCUUCUCUUCUCGCUUCCCCGCUGCCAUGCGCCAACCCCGCCGUCACCCGUCGAUCCGGCUGCGGCGCUGCGCACUUCCACCCUCGUUGCCCUCCCUGGUCCAGCAACGUCACCUGCUCCCUUCAACUCCCAUCUCGAUCUUCAUGGCCCUCAAAUCUAGCAGCCCUCGGCCACGACGCUGCCGGAUCUGGUCGGCUUGGCCUCGUCGCCCCAACCAAUAGGUGCUCGACGCCACUCCUCAGGAUUCAGGAACGCAGUGGUCUUCUUCGUCAGCUUUAUAUCCCUCCACUUCCUACGCCAUGUAUCGGCCAUCUACCCUUUCUUGAAGCUCCUCCUCAUCCAAGUGGCCACCUGAUGUUGCCGAGUGGACCAUGCUCACUCGCGCCUUCGCCCACCAGUACCAGGUUUGGUCGCCACUUCCUUUGCGCAAUUCGUCGAGCAGGUCAUCUGUGUGGCGUAUGUGUGCUGUUGUAAUGGAUGGCUUGUUUUCUGGUGGUUGAGGUGCAGGAUUUUCUCGUAUAUUUCAAGUUGAAUACCGGGGAGAUGGUGCCAUGGCGGGCUACUAUGGUGGUGGCAGUUGGGACUAUCUGAAGAGCAAUAAUGUAAUGCUUUUGAGCUUAGGUACAUGAAGUCAUAUUUGAAAGCGGACGAGAUGAUGUUUGUCAACACGAAACUGAAAAGGGAUGUGAAACAGUACUGGAGGAAUCGUGAUCUAUGGCAAGGGUGAUGAUGUCUAUGGCGAUGAUUGUCAUGAUCUAUAUGGCGAUGAGCGUUAUAAUCCAUGAAGGGUGAUGAGUCUAAUGAUCUUUCUUCAGGACAUGCAACAAAGUGAACUUCUGAAGUUUUGGUCAAUUUUAGCUUAGGCAUAAUGCUUGGACCAUUAUAUAUUAGUUACUAUUUUGUUUUGCAUUCCAAACUUCCUAGAUAGAUCAUGAUGAACAGUGUAA